rnacentral:misc_RNA from 1 species
AACCAACAAUUUUUACUGAUGUCAAGGAGUAUAUGCAGAUAGCGCAAGAUGAGAUAUUUGGUCCUGUGAUGGCUCUCAUGAAAUUUAAGACAAUUGAGGAAGCAAUAGAGAAGGCAAAUGCAACAAAGUAUGGGCUAGGAGCAGGGAUCAUAACGAAGGACUUGAAUACAGCAAACCGAGUCUCGCGAUCAAUUCGUGCAGGCACUAUCUGGAUCAACUGUUACUUUGCCUACGAUGCAGAUAGCCCCUUUGGUGGGUACAAGAUGAGUGGAUUUGGGAGGGA